rnacentral:rRNA from 1 species
UACGAAGGGUGCAAGCGUUAAUCGGAAUUACUGGGCGUAAAGCGCGCGUAGGCGGUUUGAUAAGUUGGAUGUGAAAGCCCCGGGCUCAACCUGGGAAUUGCAUCCAAAACUGUCUGACUAGAGUACGGUAGAGGGUGGUGGAAUUUCCUGUGUAGCGGUGAAAUGCGUAGAUAUAGGAAGGAACAUCAGUGGCGAAGGCGACCACCUGGACUGAUACUGACGCUGAGGUGCGAAAGCGUGGGGAGCAAACAGG